AAAUAUUUAACAAACCACCUGGACUGGAGGUCAGCUGGGGGCUCUGUUCCACGUUACUCUCACUCUGGACACCAGGCUGACGUGAGAAACACUAACUGGAGUACCGCUGGUUGCUAUGGAGAGAGAAAGAAGUGGGAGAAUUUGUAUUGGCUCUUAAAAUAUCUGCUCCCAUGUCAUUGGUCAAAGCAGGUCCCGUUCCACAUCUAACUUCAAAGAGGAUAUGGAAGUAUACUCCCAUCACGUGUCUGGAAAGAAGGAAACAGGAUGUUUGUGAAGAGCGUGAGAAUACUACACGACUCUUUCAGUUGCAAAUAACAUAAACCAAAUUUUAAUUGGCCGAAGCAGAAAAGGGAAUUUGCUGACUCACGUAAGUGUAGGGAUUGUUUGGCUUCAAACACGGUUGGAUCUAGAUAGUCAAAGAUGUCUUCAGUGCUCCAUCUCUCUUUUGUCUGGUCCUUAUUCUCAGCUAGCGGCCUCCCAAGUCACGACAGAAACAGCCAUCAGAAAGUUUCACAAUUAUUUUCCAUCAACUAUAAAAAGGAGAGUCUCAGGGCAGUGUGGUGGCAUAGUGGCUGAGUUCGCACACUCCGCUUUGGCAGCCCGGGGUUCACUGGUUCGGAUCCUGGGCAUGGACCUACACACUGCUCAUCAAGCCAUGCUGAGGCAGCAUCCCACAUAG
rnacentral:lncRNA from 1 species